rnacentral:misc_RNA from 1 species
GCCUGUCCGAGCGUCAUUAUGACCACUCAAGCCUGGCUUGGUGUUGGGGCCCGCGGUUCCGCGGCCCUUAAAAUCAGUGGCGGCGCAUCUGGCUCUGAGCGUAGUAAUACUCCUCGCUAUAGAGUCCUGGUGGAUGCUUGCCAGCAACCCCUAAUCUCACGGUUGACCUCGGAUCAGGUAGGGAUACCCGCUGAACUUAA